UACGUAGGGUGCGAGCGUUAAUCGGAAUUACUGGGCGUAAAGCGUGCGCAGGCGGUUUUGUAAGCCAGAUGUGAAAGCCCCGGGCUUAACCUGGGAAUGGCAUUUGGGACUGCAAGGCUUGAGUGCGGCAGAGGAGACUGGAAUUCCUGGUGUAGCAGUGAAAUGCGUAGAUAUCAGGAGGAAUACCGAUGGCGAAGGCAGGUCUCUGGGUCGUACCUGACGCUGAGGCGCGAAAGCGUGGGGAGCGAACGGG
rnacentral:rRNA from 1 species